GGAGAAGGAGCCUGUGAUGGUUAAGUUUUCAAUCUGUGGAUCAACAUGUCCCUUAAUCUCAUGACUGUUAUGUUUACUCAAGAGUUUUUGAUGGGGGACCUUAUCAAAAGCUUUUUGACAGUCCAAAUAUACUCUGUCAACUGGAUCACCUCUAUCCACGUGCUGUUGAGUUCAACCGCUGUUCAACACCAAAAGUUGGUAAAAGAAUAGAAGAUCAAGAAUUCGAAUAGAUUGCCCAGUUUGAACAUUACCUUCGGAAUGAGACAAACACCUCUAGAAGCUAUACUGCAAGGUCUCACAGGAAUAUGGAACAAGAAGUGUACAAUAUAUAGCUGCGAUCCAGAAAUUAUAGACUUCAACAGCUAGUUAAGUUUCUCAGAGUUUUUCUGAUCUUCCAUUUCCUUCAACAUGCAAACAGUUUGUCCAGCCUUCCACAAACUCCAAAGUUAGUGGUUGAUAAAUAUGCAUACUGAAUGGGUGCGAGGUCAAGAUAAU